GGCGACGACGGGUAGCCGGCCUGAGAGGGUGACCGGCCACACUGGGACUGAGACACGGCCCAGACUCCUACGGGAGGCAGCAGUGGGGAAUAUUGCACGAUGGGCGAAAGCCUGAUGCAGCGACGCCGCGUGAGGGAUGACGGCCUUCGGGUUGUAAACCUCUUUCAGUAGGGAAGAAGCGAAAGUGACGGUACCUGCAGAAGAAGCGCCGGCUAACUACGUGCCAGCAGCCGCGGUAAUACGUAGGGCGCAAGCGUUAUCCGGAUUUAUUGGGCGUAAAGAGCUCGUAGGCGGUUUGUCGCGUCUGCCGUGAAAGUCCGAGGCUCAACCUCGGAUCUGCGGUGGGUACGGGCAGACUAGAGUGAUGUAGGGGAGACUGGAAUUCCUGGUGUAGCGGUGAAAUGCGCAGAUAUCAGGAGGAACACCGAUGGCGAAGGCAGGUCUCUGGGCAUCUACUGACGCUGAGGAGCGAAAGCAUGGGGAGCGAACAGGAUUAGAUACCCUGGUAGUCCAUGCCGUAAACGUUUGGCACUAGGUGUGGGGAACAUUCCACGUUUUCCGCGCCGUAGCUAACGCAUUAAGUGCCCCGCCUGGGGAGUACGGCCGCAAGGCUAAAACUCAAAGGAAUUGACGGGGGCUCGCACAAGCGGCGGAGCAUGCGGAUUAAUUCGAUGCAACGCGAAGAACCUUACCAAGGCUUGACAUGUUCCAGACCGCCUCAGAGAUGGGGUUUCCCUUCGGGGCUGGUUCACAGGUGGUGCAUGGUUGUCGUCAGCUCGUGUCGUGAGAUGUUGGGUUAAGUCCCGCAACGAGCGCAACCCUCGUUCCAUGUUGCCAGCACGUAAAGGUGGGGACUCAUGGGAGACUGCCGGGGUCAACUCGGAGGAAGGUGGGGAUGACGUCAAAUCAUCAUGCCCCUUAUGUCUUGGGCUUCACGCAUGCUACAAUGGCCGGUACAAUGGGUUGCGAUACUGUGAGGUGGAGCUAAUCCCUAAAAGCCGGUCUCAGUUCGGAUUGGGGUCUGCAACUCGACCCCAUGAAGUCGGAGUCGCUAGUAAUCGCAGAUCAGCAACGCUGCGGUGAGUACGUUCCCGGGCCUUGUACACACCGCCCGUCAAGUCACGAAAGUUGGUAACACCCGAAGCCGAU
rnacentral:rRNA from 1 species